rnacentral:pre_miRNA from 1 species
AUAUUCGCGUACGUAUGUGCCUGGCUCCCUGUAUGCCAUGUGCAGAGAGCGCAUCGGAGAAUCGAUGGCCUCCGCGGAUGGCGUAUGAGGAGCCAAGCAUAUAAAUUCCCCAGUAU